GCCAGACGGGUGAUGCGUAUUCAAGGGACGUACGCCGCAUGAACCAACAGUACAACUUAAACAUGGCAAGCCUCGAGACUACUUCGCCAAGAUGCACGCGGAGGGCACAGACUUGGUCUACCGGUUCAACUACUACCCAGGAAGCACUAGCAGGGAGGACGCGGUGGGCAUAGGUGCCCAUCAUGACUUCGCAACCUUAACUUUCCUUUUCAGCAACGGUGGAGGAGGACUCCAGAUGCAGGAUCCAUCCGGCCAAUGGGUUGAUGUGUCCGAUGUGCCCGGCGUCGUGCUGGUCAUGGGCGGGGAGUUCCUCACCUUUUACUCCAAUAAGCGCUUCAAGGCACCAGUGACUUGACUGGCUGGAAAUUUCCAGCAAUAAAGUUUCCAAUAAAUUUUCUAGAAUCUCCAGUGAUCUCUUUAACAUUGUAAUCAAGGAUGGAAACUCAGCCUUUCCAUAUCUCAGUCGAAAAUUUAUCUCAGGUUUGGAAACUGGUGGCUUGGUUACCGCUAGAUCCCUUAUUCCUAGGCAUACAUAAUAUUUUCUUUGUACCACAAACUAUGAAAAUAUUUCACUUCUUUUCUCAUUCAGCUCCUUUGACUCAAAGAGUUAACGAAAUGAAUGGUCCAGGCACAGAACGAGCACUGCGAUCUCUAAAUAUUUACUUCGACUAUUCGACUGCCAUGCACCUCACUGUACUUCUUAAAAAAAGACCAGUAGAUAAAUUAUUGCAAUGCAAGCUAACAUUACUCCUAAAACUAUUCAUGAAAUUACAAACUCGAGGUGAAACAGACUGUUUCAUAUUUCCUGAACCCAU